AGCAGCCGCGGUAAUUCCAGCUCCAAUAGCGUAUAUUAAAGUUGCUGCAGUUAAAAAGCUCGUAGUUGAAUUUCGGGACUAAGUAUGUCGGUCGUGCCUCGGUACGUACUGGUAUUUUGGUUUCUCCCUUCUGACGAACCUUGAUGUCAUUAAUUUGGUGUCUUGGGAAAUCAGGACUGUUACUUUGAAAAAAUUAGAGUGUUUAAAGCAGGCUCACGCUUGAAUACAUUAGCAUGGAAUAAUGAAAUAGGACGUUUGAUUCUAUUUUGUUGGUUUCUAGGAUCGACGUAAUGAUUAAUAGGGAUAGUUGGGGGCAUUAGUAUUCAAUUGUCAGAGGUGAAAUUCUUGGAUUUAUUGAAGACUAACUACUGCGAAAGCAUUUGCCAAGGAUGUUUUCAUUAAUCAAGAACGAAAGUUAGGGAUCGAAGACGAUCAGAUACCGUCGUAGUCUUAACCAUAAACUAUGCCGACUAGGGAUCGGAUGAUGUUAAUUUUUAAUGACUCAUUCGGCGCCUUACGG
rnacentral:rRNA from 1 species